rnacentral:lncRNA from 1 species
GUUUAACGUACUGAGCAAGAAUAUAUCUUAAGUUCUCAGUUUCGACUCCGUUUGGUCACCGAAAGCUGUGCCGAACUGUAAUCUUUAGCAGAUAGCAGUUCGAUUUUAUUUUCCACCUUCCGGGUGUCAAAAUGAAAUGAAACUUUAAAUCUAGCCUCAUAAAAAUAUUUCUGGCAUAUCCUCCAGUUUUCAUAAUUUUCUGACACUGUGCAUUUUCUGCUAAUUUAUCUGCCCCGUUUCAUACAGAAAAUUCUAAAUUUUCUGUUUUCGCUCCGAUUUCAACACAGGUCAUUCCCAACCUAUAUUUCACCUCUCUAAAUCCAAUAAAAUAGUAUCUCAUACUAUUUUUAUUUAUUUUUACUUUUAUAUUUAAAAUCCGGUAUGUUACAUUCCACAGCAACCUCACCGGAACCAUUUAAAUGUACACCGUAACUUCAUAGUUUUAGAAGUCCGGUACCUUACACAU